CAUCUGAUUGGAUAGCAGUUUUUGUUGCGGAACAUUCAGGACCACUUCUAUAGACGGAUAUGCGCGACGCUCCGUUUUUUUUAGAGAUAUUUUAUUUUUUUGAUUAUCUUGGAUGUAUUCACAAGUUUGAAUUAUUCAUCCUAUCAAAAAUAUUUAAAAAAAUAAAUAAAUAUUUUUUUAAAGCACUCUUAAAUAUCUUUAAAAUAUCUCACGAGAGUGCUCAGCGAAGG
rnacentral:lncRNA from 1 species